GUGCCAGCCGCCGCGGUAAGACGGAGGGUGCAAGCGUUGUUCGGAAUUACUGGGCGUAAAGGGCGCGUAGGCGGUCUGUUAAGUUCGGUGUGAAAGCCCCCGGCUCACCUGGGGAACUGCGCCGGAAACCGACAGACUCGAGUACCGGAGAGGAGGGUGGAAUUCCUGGUGUAGCGGUGAAAUGCGUAGAUAUCAGGAGGAACACCGGUGGCGAAGGCGGCCCUCUGGACGGAUACUGACGCUGAGGCGCGAAAGCGUGGGGAUCAAACAGGAUUAGAAACCCUCGUAGUCC
rnacentral:rRNA from 1 species